AACCAUGAUCCAAUGAUCUAGAUAAGGACCUUCGGGUCUCAAAUAACACCUCAUGGUCUAGGGGAACCUUCAGGUCCUGAAUACGAUCUCAGGAUCCAAGGAUAACCUCCUGGCUCCUCCACGACCUCUGGGUCCCCAGACAACCCUCGGGUCCUAACGUAACCUCCGAGUUACGAGAUCAGUCUCUAGACUCCAAGAGUCCAUAUUUUAGCUUGAAAGCCUCAGGUUCAUAUCCCAUCUC
rnacentral:lncRNA from 1 species